GUUAUUCCCAACCCCAGCGUGAUCUAGCCUGUGAGUUGGAAGCUGACACCGUGACCUGCCUUGAAGACUCCAAUUCUUUGGGUUCUUGUCCAUUAGGCCCACAGAUUCUCCCCCAGAUGUUUCAGCAAUAGCCAUUCAACAAAGGAAUCAGAAGCAGCAGCAAAAAACCUAAUAAGGGGCCCUUUGUGCCCAGCCGUUAGAAGACAGG